rnacentral:lncRNA from 1 species
GUUCAAAAAAAAGUUCAAAAAAAAGGUUGUAUUUGUUUUCAUUUGUAUUCAGCAUAUUGUAAUUGAACAAAAAAAUCAAAAAAGAAGAAGAGGAAAUUCGAAAAAAAUUCAAAAAAAUUCAAAAAAAAAGAGUGUGAAGUUUGGAAAGUAUUUGCAAGUUCUGAAUUCUUUUUUUCUAUUAGUCCCAAUCACCGAGAUCAUUCUACCAUUUCUUCUACCCCUCCCAAAAAAAU